rnacentral:rRNA from 1 species
CUGGCGGGGUGCCUAAUACAUGCAAGUCGAGCGGAGUUUUUUAGAAAGAAGCCUUCGGGCGGACUUCUUUAAAACUUAGCGGCGGACGGGUGAGUAACACGUGGGUAACCUGCCUGUAAGACUGGGACAACUCGUGGAAACAUGAGCUAAUACCAGAUAAGCUUACACUACCGCAUGGUAGAGUAAGUAAAGGAGGUCUUGGCUUCCACUUACAGAUGGGCCUGCGGCGCAUUAGCUAGUUGGUAAGGUAACGGCUUACCAAGGCGACGAUGCGCAGCCGACCUGAGAGGGUGAUCGGCCACACUGGGACUGAGACACGGCCCAGACUCCUACGGGAGGCAGCAGUAGGGAAUCUUCCGCAAUGGACGAAAGUCUGACGGAGCAACGCCGCGUGAGUGAUGAAGGUCUUCGGAUCGUAAAGCUCUGUUGCCAGGGAAGAAUACACAGUUGUUAACUGCAAUUGUGAUGACGGUACCUGAGAAGAAAGCCCCGGCUAACUACGUGCCAGCAGCCGCGGUAAUACGUAGGGGGCAAGCGUUGUCCGGAAUUAUUGGGCGUAAAGCGCGCGCAGGCGGCUGAGUAAGUCUCGUGUUUAAUCCCGGAGCUCAACUCCGGACCGCACGAGAAACUGCUUAGCUUGAGUGCAAAAGAGGAGAGCGGAAUUCCACGUGUAGCGGUGAAAUGCGUAGAGAUGUGGAGGAACACCAGUGGCGAAAGCGGCUCUCUGGUUUGUAACUGACGCUGAGGCGCGAAAGCGUGGGUAGCGAACAGGAUUAGAUACCCUGGUAGUCCACGCCCGUAAACGAUGAAUGCUAGUGUUAGGGAGCACGAACCUCCCUUAGUGCCCGAAGUUUA